CCCUACGGGAGGCAGCAGUGAGGAAUAUUGGUCAAUGGGCGUAAGCCUGAACCAGCCAAGUCGCGUGAGGGAUGAAGGUUCUAUGGAUCGUAAACCUCUUUUAUAAGGGAAUAAAGUGUGGGACGUGUCCUAUUUUGUAUGUACCUUAUGAAUAAGGAUCGGCUAACUCCGUGCCAGCAGCCGCGGUAAUACGGAUGAUCCGAGCGUUAUCUGGAUUGAUUGGGUUGAAAGGGUGCGUAGGCGGCCUUUUAAGUCAGCGGUGAAAGUCUGUGGCUCAAACAUAGAAUUGCCGUUGAAACUGGGGGGCUUGAGUAUGUUUGAGGCAGGCGGAAUGCGUGGGGUAGCGGUGAAAUGCGUAGAUAUCACGCAGAACCCCGAUGGCGAAGGCAGCCUGCCAGGCCAUGACUGACGCUGAUGCACGAAAGCGUGGGGAUCAAACAGGAUUAGAUACCCGAGGAGUC
rnacentral:rRNA from 1 species